rnacentral:rRNA from 1 species
GAUGAACGCUAGCGGCAGGCUUAAUACAUGCAAGUCGUACGGGAUCCGAGGUAGCAAUACUUUGGUGAGAGUGGCGCACGGGUGCGUAACACGUAUGCAACCUACCUUUAACCGGGACACAACCUUGAGAAAUUGAGGCUAAUAUCCCAUAACACUGCGAGAUGGCAUCAUUUUGCAGUUAAAACUCCGGUGGUUAUUGAUGGGCAUGCGCGACAUUAGCUAGUUGGUGAGGUAACGGCCCACCAAGGCUACGAUGUCUAGGGGUUCUGAGAGGAUUAUCCCCCANACUGGUACUGAGACACGGACCAGACUCCUACGGGAGCAGCAGUAAGGAAUAUUGGUCAAAUGGGCGCAAGCCUGAACCAGCCAUGCCGCGUGAAGGAUGACGGCCCUAUGGGUUGUAAACUUCUUUUGUACGGGAAAAAACCACCGGUCGUGUAUCGGUGCUGAUGGUACCGUAAGAAUAAGCAUCGGCUAACUCCGUGCCAGCAGCCG